rnacentral:rRNA from 1 species
UACGUAGGUGGCAAGCGUUGUCCGGAUUUACUGGGCGUAAAGGAUGCGUAGGCGGUUCGGUAAGUCGGAUGUGAAAUCUCCAGGCUCAACCUGGAGGGGUCAUUCGAUACUGCCGUGACUAGAGGUCGGUAGGGGAGUGUGGAAUUCCUGGUGGAGCGGUGAAAUGCGCAGAUAUCAGGAGGAACACCCGUAGCGAAGGCGGCACUCUGGGCCGAUACUGACACUGAGGAGCGAAAGCUAGGGGAGCAAACAGG